UACGGAGUCGUCCAAUGGUAGGACAGUAGACUUUGGAUCUACUAAUCAUGGUUCGAAUCCAUGCUCCGUAG
rnacentral:tRNA from 1 species